UGUAAAAUAAGUUAAGGAAACUGUUGGGCUCAUGUCUCAAAUACAGGGAUGGAAUUUCUCUUUUUACUU
rnacentral:tRNA from 1 species